UAAUGGCCAUGGUGUGCCUAAGCCGACCUCUAGUGGUGAAAUUUGGGUUCUCAAUAAGAGUUAUACAUAGUAUAUCCCUUUGCCAAUCAGUGAACUUGAUUCCUGGUUGAAGACACCCUCCAUAUAUGUUUUUGAUUGCUCUGCGGCUGGGAAUAUUGUGAAUGCUUUUAUUGAGCUCCUCUGGAUCCACAAGGGAUUGCAUUCUACUUGGAGCUUGUGAAGCACAUGAGACUCUUCCACAAAGUACAGAAUUUCCUGCAGAUGUGUUUACGUCUUGUCUCACAACACCUAUU